rnacentral:lncRNA from 1 species
AUAUUCUUAUAUAGUUAGAAAACCGAAUUAUAGCCAUAUUGGCAUUCUCACUAUAAAUGAAGUGUGAGAGAAAUCCAGAGACCUUUGAAAUGGAAAAGCCUGGGAGACUGCAAAGAUUCCACCAGCAGUAGAGGGGAUGGACUGAAAAGGUUUGGAACCUUGGAAAAGGGAACAACCCAGGAGUCAGUUGGUCAGCUCUCUCUUGACUUGAGACUUCUGGAGGAGAGGUCAAUCUAUAAUUGUAUCCUGAUCCAAGAAAUCUUUCCUUCCCUGAACCUGAUCACAAUCCUCCCAAACCAGAUGAAGGUAAUUUAAAAAAAGAAAAUUCAAAGCUGGAUGAGAGCCAGGGAAAUACUUAAAGUAUUGGUCACCCUGUCCUUGAUGAUAUUCUGGAAGUCAGAGAACCCAGUGAAGAUUCCCUAGCUAGGAAAAAUGAAGUCCAGAGAAACAUCUCCACCAAUUCCACAUACUGUUACUGUUGUUGUUUUUGAAGAGGUGCCUUGGCAGGAGUGGUGGCUCAGAACCUGUGAUUUUAUCUGGAUAGGGGACCAGUACUUUUGGUGUGAAAAUUCCCUCUACCAUUCUGUACUGAGCAAAAACAGCUCCUGGAGGUGGAAUUUUGGGGGGAAUCCAGGGAAGACUCAUGGACCUGUAGACUGA